CAGUGAAUCAUUAAUCCAAAUUCAAUACCUAAAAUAUCAAUUUAGAUGAUGGAUCAUGAACUUUAAAGCUGGAAGAAACAGUAAAUGUAUCUCUCUCCCUACUCGCUGCAUUGACAGCUGAGGGAGGUGGAAUUGAGGGAGAGGAAAGACCAUGUGAGG